CACCAGUGGCGAGCGACUCCUGGCUCGCAACUGACACUGAGGCACGAAAGCGUGGGUAGCAAAGCAGGAUUAGAUACCCUGGUAGUCCACGCUGUAAACGCUGAGAACUAGAUGUUAGUAGGGCAUGACCUAUUAGUAUCGUAGCUAACGCGAUAAGUUCUCCGCCUGGGGAGUACGGCCGCAAGGUUAAAACUCAAAGGAAUUGACGGGGGCCCAGCACCAAGACGGUUGGAAGCCACUGUUGGUUUGUAAUGUCGAUGCUAAACGCGCAGAACCUUACUACCUUUGAAUCCACGGAAUCUUUUGGAGAUAGAAGAGUGCCUUCGGGAACCGUGAGACAGGUGCUGCAUGGCUGUCGUCAGCUCGUGCCGUGAGAUGUUGGGUUAAGUCCCGUAACGAGCGCAACCCCUAUCCUUAGUUACCAUCAAGUAAAGUUGGGGACUUUAAGGAGACUGCUGGUGAUAAACCGGAGGAAGGUGGGGAUGACGUCAAGUCUCAUGGCCUUACAGUAGGGCUACACACGUGCUACAAUGCCGGUACAAAGGUUCCAACCCGCGAGGGGGAGCUAAUCUCAAAAGCCGUCGUAGUCCGGAUUGGAGCUGCAACUCGGCUCCAUGAAGUUGGAAUCGUAGUAAUCGCGUAUCAGCAAUACCGGGAUACGUUCCCGGCUUGUACACACCGCCCUACAUACC
rnacentral:rRNA from 1 species